UCUAUCCUCAUCCUUCCAACAGAAACCAACAGAAUUCACCACCUGAUGGAAAUGCCAGUUUUUCUCACAUGCCACGUCGGCGCCUUGCAAAGUCUGGGUUGCACCAUGCAACCUCUGCUCCACGUUUAAAUGUAAUACCAGGCAAUGGUCUCCAUAGCUUUAGCUUCUCUCCGGGGCUAUCCAAAGGAUCAUUUGGUACCUCCCAGAGUGCCCCUUGCGGCCAGUGGCUCUUCCGUAACUUUGUGGGUGGUGGGAGCUGUGGCACUGUCUUCCCAACCACAAUUGUUAACCCAAACAAGGCUGUACUUACAAUUGAUUCCUCCUCUAAGAUCCUGACAGCAAAUGAUAUGUCCUCAUUGCUCCUUGGCCACCCAGAGGAUGAGUUGUGCGGCACCAUGAAACUGACAGACUUCAUUACCAAUCCCGAAACGCAGAAAGCACUCAGCUCCCUUGCAAGUUUGAGCCCCAUGUCGGAGGGCAUCUGCAUGGAGAACUCCCUUCACACACUGCCAGAGCCUGACAUAUUAGACAAUCAAGGAAUGGUGCUCUUUAGUGGGAAAGUUGUGGAUGUAGAUACCUACGACAAUGGCACUCUCCCAUGUUCCUUGUGGCUGAAAGGACUCCCUCAGGAGACAGAUGAAGACCAGAGAUGGAUUGCUGUCCUAGAACCUGUAGACAUUACUGUUGCAAAGGCAUCAGUUGAUGAAACUGGCCGUAUUUUGAAGCAUGACUCUUCAUUCAGCGCUCUCUUUGGGUAUGCAGAUAACAGUGAGCUCACCAAACUCAAUAUUUGUGAUCUUAUACCUGCUCUCCAGGUGCCCACUAGUCCUCAUGACAUGCCUAAGGAUGUGGAGAAGCAGCAGUGUACGGGACAGACGGUGGACUGUGCUACGUUCCCCCUUUGUGCACACUUCACGGUCAAUAACACCCACAAUGAUUUCACCCUAAGAAAACAUGUCUUUGAUCUAGAAAUAUGGGUGUUCUCUAACAUCAGUGGACUGGUGGUUUUGGAUGCUGCAGGGAAAAUCAGUGAUUACAACUAUAAUUUCACGAGACUCUUAUUUGGCUAUGGCAAGAGAGAACUUGAGGGAGAGGAUAUAACUCACCUUAUACCAACCUUCUUCGAUGAUGUUGCAUUGAUUCAAAAAAUGAAUAGCCCGUCCUUUGACUCAGAUGACUCAGAUUCAACUCUUAGUGACAAUGAAACUGAAAAUCAGAAGGAAAAUAAAGAGAGAACCAAUGGACCUCUAUUCACUAAAAGUAAACAGAAUGAAGCAACAACAACAUUGAUGUCUGAGCCAUCAUCAAUAUCUACCCCAAACCGUGGAUUCGUUGCUUCAGAAAGUAAGCUUCAGGGAUCACUCUACGGAUCUACUUUCAACUCUACUUCCAACGUCACAAGCACGGGGGACAACAGCCAAAAUUCGUCUCAGAACAACAAGGCCAUGAGAGACAUCACCAACUCCAUGAAUAUUCUCAGCAUCAGUCAGCAGAAUGUUUCAAAUCAGACAAACAACUCAGGCUUACAAGGAAGUCCCAGCAAAACAAGGCCAGUAAAAGACAGAGAAAAUGCAUCUGACGAAAGUCUUCCCAAGGUACAAAUAGAGGUAUGUUCAGAUCUUCCCCAGGACAUUCUUCCUGAGGAUAUGGUCACCUCUACACCUGCUGUGGGUCGGAUGAGAGGCCACAGCCAAGUUCACACCAUUGAAGAAGGCAGUUUCUUUGGGGUUGGAAAGCACAAGGAUGGAUCUGAUCUUGUAAUCAUCUACCAGAUUCGUCGAGUGGAGUUAAAUGGGGUGAAUCACUACUGUGUGUGGAUUUUGAGAGAUCCAGAAGAACCUGGGGAGGGCCUUCGAUCCAACACAAACUUUACCUUAGCUUCAACAUUCAAUGAGACAGCAGAAUAUUCUUUAGGUCAUGCCAUCAAAAGUGAGGCUCAGAAGUCAGAAAUUGACCUUGAGGAUGACUCUGACACAUCCUCUGAUGAUGAAGGUGCUGACCACAGUCAGACAAGCACAGAUGGCAGCUCAGGAGCUGAAUAUUCGCUCAACCACUCACGGCGAGGCAACCGGGAGUCAUCAUCAGCUUGUCCAGAGGAGGGUGAGGAUCUACUUCUAGCUGGAGAUUAUAGCAAUCACUACUCAGUCUUGCGUCAGAUAGGAAAAGGAGCAUUUGGCUGUGUAAAAAUGAGCUACCGAAACUCUGACGGACUUAUGGUUGUAACCAAGUUCAUCAAGAAAAGCAAAGUUUAUCAGGACAGCUGGGUGGAUGAUCUCCUCCUCCGAAAAAGGGUUCCUCUAGAAGUGUCAUUGCUCAUGACUCUUGACCAUCCAAACAUUGUAUCAGUGUUCGACAUGUUCGAGAAUGAUGAUUACUUCCAACUAGUUAUGGAAAAAUGGGGUGCUGGGAUGGACCUGUUUGAGUUCAUUGAUCGGAACCCUCUCCUUGAUGAACCUCUCGCUGCUUAUAUGUUCAGACAGAUUGUCUCGGCAUUAACUUACCUACACUCUCUCAACAUCAUCCACCGUGAUGUGAAAGAUGAAAACGUCAUCUUGAACAACAGAUUCCAUGUGAAGCUGAUAGACUUUGGUUCAUCAGCUUUCACCAAACCUGGCAAAAUGUUUUCCCAAUUUGCUGGAACUGUAGAGUACUGCAGUCCAGAGGUGCUCAAGGGAAACAAGUAUAGUGGCUAUGAAUUAGAGGUCUGGUCACUGGGAGUGACCCUCUAUACUCUCAUGUAUGGAGAGAAUCCAUUCUAUGAUGUAGAUGAAACCAUUAAGGCAGAGCUUACCUUCCCUGUUAGACAUUCUCUUGAAUUGACGGCCCUUCUCAAUGGAAUGUUGCAAAAGGAUCCCAAAGCUCGCAUGACUUUAGAAGAAGUGGAGGCGCAUCAGUGGACCCAGCUUGAGUGUGACAUUGAUGAUUAUGUGUUUGAGGAAAUUAUAAGAUGUUCUCAAGAGGAAGCCAACCCAAGACAGUUCAUCACAGAGUACAGUGAGAGUGACAGCUCAAUAUCCACUGCUUCAAACAGCUUUGUGUAUGAGAAUGCCAUACAGUCUACGCGACGAUCACUCUCCUUCACUCCUCAGGGGACCAAGAAUGAUAAUGAUCAUAUACGCAUGCAGCGGUCAGCCACAUCCCUGAGUUCUUCACGAAUAGGAAAUGAGGUUGAUGAUGAUGAGUCCAUAUAUGAUCACUCAGCAUCAGUUGGAGCAUCUAGAACUUCCACUUCACAGUCAAUGUCUUCAGUCAGAAGUACAAUAACCAUUGAUUCGUCCUCAUUCUCCUGUUGUUCUCCAGCCUCGGACUCUGGUGACAGUAGUGAGACUCAACUUCAGUCAUCACAGUCCUCCUCCUCAGGAGGUCUGUAGCAGAGCUUCCUGGCUGGGUUAGAGAGAGGAGUGUUCAGACAAACAGGAGAAGACAUGGGAACAGUACUGUGUAUAUGAUCACAAGUUGAUAAUACUGUAGGUUAUUCAGUUACACACAAGAAUAGCUAUUAUAUUAAGGAGACUAAAAAAGACUUCAGCAGUGCAGAAGUAUGUAAGUUACCUAUUACGAUAACGUGAGCAGCUGCACUCUCUCUGGCCGCAGUUCCGAGGGCAGCAUCAACCUUGAGAAGACACUAGCUAGGUACUACAGGCUAAGCAACCCCAAAGAUGACAAUGGCUCUGACUACGAGAAUGUAAACAAAAAUGGCGAUUCCGAGUAUGAAAAUGUGAAUGAGGAUGGUGAUUCCGAGUACGAAAAUGCCAAAGAUUUUGAUGACUCUGACAGCGAGAGCAUCAGAGAGUUCUUCUACCCUAGUGUUCCCCUAGAGCGUAAAAAUUGUGAUUUGGAAAAGCAGCCACACAGUAUCCAGCAGUUACCAGAGAACAGUAGAGUGGGUAAUUUUAGGCCACGUAAUCUAGCCCUACCAGAGCUCGAGUCGUCAUGCUACACGGCAGAUUGUGAGUGCUCAGACUCAGAAUCUAGUAUCUCACAGUGGCAGGAUGACGACGAUGAGGAGGACUUUAGGUACAUGAAUUCAGACCUGCCUGAUUGCGACAACCCGUUUUGGCACGAGGGGAACUACACCUCGCCCGAAAGUGAUGACCCUUUUUGGGACGGGAACACCAAUGCUUGUGCAUCAGACAGGGAGCUUCAUCAGCGUGGCAGAGAAUCGGAUAGUCUCUAAUUCAGGAACAGGAUGUUAUAAAGGAAAAGAAGGGGGGAGCAGAGAAAAAAAAAAGAAUAAAUACCCUCAGGUAUCCGUACCCAAUGUCUCUGUGAAUUGUGAGAUGGUAUCAUCUUCCUCCAUUUUUGUUUGUGUUUUUGUUUUUGAAGGGUAACUUGUGUGGAGUCACUUUUGAUUUUACAAGUUUAUAAAGAAAAGUGAACAGCUGACUGUGUCCUCGGAAAAACAGUCUAGUACUUUGUAUUUUGAAUAUAUUUUGAUCACUGCAUGCCAUACAAAUGCAACAACAGUCAUAUAGGGGGGGGACUGGUCACUUAACAAAAAAAAUCAAUCCUAUUAAAUUUGUGUAGCCUGUAAGCCUGUCAUAUAUCCAUUAGCUAUAUUAACUAUAUUUGUGCAAAAAUUAGCUUAGGAAACUUUUACGAUUCUUGCAUAUAGAUUUGUUACUGUUCUAUUUAUUAAUUUCUUUGGUUUAUCAAAUGAUUAUGCAAUGUAAUAUAGUCUGGACUGAUGAAGAUGUUUCUUUACCUAAAGAACGCUUAUUAAUAUAAGCAGGUGAUUAUAUAUUGCCUGGGAAUAUCAAAAAGGGUUGAUAUUUUAAUUCCACUGCCAAUAUUAAUUUCUCUCUUUAGCUCUUUCUUUAUUUUUCAAGCUCUUUAAUUUUUUUUAUUAGUAUUUUGAGUCCACAUUCUCAAGAAAUGUACAGUACAAGAUGUUUCAUCUUAGAUCAGACAUCAGUUGUACAUGUAUGUGUUUUGCUUCGUCUCUCUCAUUUCCUAUGGAUCUUUUUAAAGUUUAAUCUCUUUAUUUUUACUAAUUCAUUUUUUUCCCAACUCAAGAUAACAUGAAACAUGCAGCAACACUAGCUUAUUUUGUUUUUGUUUGUGUUGUUUCUUUUGUCACAAACAUCCAAGAUUUAUAAUAAAAGGAAACCUAGCAUUCCAAAUCAGGGCUUUCGUGGUGGCUCAACCACUGUCUGAAGGAUCAUCAGGAUGCUUAUCUUUAAUUAUGCGCCGUUUUAGGAUAAGAUGUUAAAGGGGACUGAAAACAAAACUAGUUCAGGGACUAAUAUACAUACAUAAUUCAAUUAUUGUUUCACCUUGCUCAGAGCAGGAACGGUACUUGUGUGUUUUUUGGACAGUUGAAGUCACCAUAUUUGUGAAUGGAAAUCAAUGUUUUAUGCAUAACAGAAACAAAAAAUAAAAAGUUGUAGUAAGUAAAUGCAGCAUCAUUCAAAUCAUGUAUAAAGCUAUGAAUCAGAAAUUAUGGAAGGUGGAAUGAUAAUGGCAUUAUAUUUUGUAAUUUUAGCACUUUACCAAUGAUAGGUUUAAGUUAAAAGGAUACUCAGUGCUCUGAAAUUUCCAAGUGGAGUGUACAAGUAUAUUUUCAAGAGACAAGAUUGUAAUAUAUUUUGUUUAUUGUAGGAAACACAUACCAGUGACAUUCACAUGAUACACAGGAGGUAAUACCAUAGGUGGAGAUCACAAUUUUCAUUUCUCAUGAUACUGUGUGCUAUAAUCAUAGGAAGUUUCUAGUUUUUAUAUAGUUUUAAAAAAAAGUUUUCAUUUUCAAAGUUGCUGUACUUUUAGAUGGUACUACAUUACUGAAGACUCAAAGAAAAAAAGAAACAUUUAUUGUCAUAUUAAGGAUAUUACAUCAUGACACUAAAAAGUUUUUGCAAAUAGUACAGCAGAAUCUUCUAUGAAAUACCAUGCAUAGAAAUCCAGUGGAAGAACGUCCUAUGCCUCAAAUUUCUCAUAUGUGUUGAAAUAUUGUUACAUUUACAAACUUAAUACUUGCAGUGACAUUGUGUAGAUAUCUCAUAAAGGUUUAUUUUUUACUAUACCAUUUGUGUUUAAUAAACCAUAUGUUAAAAGCAGGCUGCAUAUGCUUUGAUUAACAUAAAUGCCAGAUCAGACAACUGUCAUUCAUCACUGCUGCUACCAUAUGAUAUUGUUUACAUAAGAAUUCUUGUGGCUGUGGUUUGAUAUGUGUUGUUCCAGGAUAUUGGAAUCAUUUACUGUCAUUUUGUCGGGUUAACAAUAAAGCUCAGUUAAUUUAUUUUUCUUGGCCUGAAUAUUUUUUCUAUUUUUUUUUUUUUUCUUUUUUUUUUUUAGCUGGCAAAAGAAAUUAAGCAAAGGCUUACUAUCUCUUCUAAUUAUGGCUCUGUACAUAUAUGAACAUCCUGUCAUCUCUCUGCAAUAGUAAUUGAGCUGAAAUGAAUAAGCAAAGAUAAAAGUAUCAUAUCAAAUCUCAAGCAUUCAGUGUCUUCUUUGUAUACAAAUAACAACUAGUUAAUGGGAAUUCCAAAGGGGAAAUAAAUAAAAGGAUGAAUCUUCUGGCAUGUGCAUACUUUGAGACCUGAAUGAGUAUUGCGAGAAGGGACAUUUUAAAUAUGUUAAUUCCUACUUCAGAUAACACCAGUCUGUCUUAACUGUCUUACUGUAGCACCAUAUAGAGUCCUUUCAAGCAUAACUUCCAUAGAAGAAUAGGCAUUCCAAGGCAUAUAGGGUCAGCAAAGAUGCAGUGCCUAUAGAACUCUUGUUUCAACUUCGUUAGUGAGUUUAAGUAUUUUAGGGUAAUAGUGUGAUCUCCGAUUCCAUGAUAUAUCUUGCCAAUAAAGUUUGUCUUGUUCUAAGAUUUAAUUUAAUUUAUAUUUUUUGUCUUGGGUUCGAUGCAUUGUAACAACGUGAUAUUUAAAGGUAUACCUGCCUUUAUAUGAUAAGGGCACAUACUUUUCAAUGACUUAUCUUUACUAAAUAGUAACUGUGAUAGAAAAAAACAACAAUUGAGUGUUAGUUUAUGUGGGAUGCUAAUCUUAAACAUCCAUUGAACAAGUGUUUUUUCUUUAAUUUUGUUAGUAACAAUUUUCAAGAGAAAUGACGGAAGUGCCCUUUAAAAAUGUUAACAUGAUACGGUUAAUGAGUAAUACCCUUUACCCAAGGUCCAACAGUAGAUAAAUGUACUUAACAAAUGUGCACAUUCACAGUACUGCUAAUGGGCAAGUGCAUAAAAUGAGUUGACAUUUUUUAAAGUAUUAUUUUAUAUUGGCUUCUAUUUGUCUUGAUUUCAGGAUAUGACCUUUAGUGAUUAUAUGAGAGAAAUAUUUUUUAUCAUAGUGUGAAAAGGAUUGAUUAGUAAGUGAAACUGGAAUUUACCUUAGAACUUAGUCUCAAAAAGGAAAGUUUUCUGUGUAUCCAAAGUCACAUUGCUGACCAUUCACCUUGUAAAACAUCCCUGUUUUAAUAUAUUGUCUUUAGUUAUGAUUUUUUAAAAUCUUUUUCUCCUAGGCACUGAAAUGAUAAUUAAAAAGAACUACCUAUGUCACAUACAGUCAUAGAUGGUGUAACUAAGUUAAGUGAUAUUACCAAAUGUAACACACUUCACAGUGGCUGCCAUCUGUGAUCUCAACAGUGUGAUGGAGUGGAGGUUCACAGCUUCAUCAAGGCCUCGGUUUGAAUCCUUUCUUAACCCAGAGAGGUCUGUCCGAGUUGUUAAUCUCAGCCAUUCAUGUGUACUUAAAAGUAUGUUGGUCAAAUAAAAUGAACUUAAAUAAAA